rnacentral:rRNA from 1 species
GAUGAGUGCUAAGUGUUAGGGGGUUUCCGCCCCUUAGUGCUGCAGCUAACGCAUUAAGCACUCCGCCUGGGGAGUACGGUCGCAAGACUGAAACUCAAAGGAAUUGACGGGGGCCCGCACAAGCGGUGGAGCAUGUGGUUUAAUUCGAAGCAACGCGAAGAACCUUACCAGGUCUUGACAUCCUCUGACAAUCCUAGAGAUAGGACGUCCCCUUCGGGGGCAGAGUGACAGGUGGUGCAUGGUUGUCGUCAGCUCGUGUCGUGAGAUGUUGGGUUAAGUCCCGCAACGAGCGCAACCCUUGAUCUUAGUUGCCAGCAUUCAGUUGGGCACUCUAAGGUGACUGCCGGUGACAAACCGGAGGAAGGUGGGGAUGACGUCAAAUCAUCAUGCCCCUUAUGACCUGGGCUACACACGUGCUACAAUGGGCAGAACAAAGGGCAGCGAAACCGCGAGGUUAAGCCAAUCCCACAAAUCUGUUCUCAGUUCGGAUCGCAGUCUGCAACUCGACUGCGUGAAGCUGGAAUCGCUAGUAAUCGC